rnacentral:rRNA from 1 species
UACGUAGGUGGCAAGCGUUGUCCGGAUUUAUUGGGUUUAAAGGGUGCGUAGGCGGUUCUAUAAGUCAGUGGUGAAAUCCGGCAGCUCAACUGUCGAUGUGCCAUUGAUACUGCAGAACUUGAGUACAGACGAGGUAGGCGGAAUUGACGGUGUAGCGGUGAAAUGCUUAGAUAUCGGGAGGAACACCAGUGGCGAAGGCGGUGGCCUGGACCGAUGCUGACGCUGAGGCGCGAAAGCGUGGGGAGCGAUCCGG